rnacentral:rRNA from 1 species
AUUGAACGCUGGCGGCAGGCCUAACACAUGCAAGUCGAACGAGUGGCGGACGGGUGAGUAAUGUCUGGGAAACUGCCUGAUGGAGGGGGAUAACUACUGGAAACGGUAGCUAAUACCGCAUACCAUCGGAUGUGCCCAGAUGGGAUUAGCUAGUAGGUGGGGUAAAGGCGCACCUAGGCGACGAUCCCUAGCUGGUCUGAGAGGAGGACCAGCAACGCGUGAACGGAGCCACGGUCCAGACUACUAAGGAAGGCAGAAUUGGGGAAUAUUGCACAAUGGGCGCAAGCCUGAUGCAGUCAUGCCGGGUGUAGGAAGAAGGCCUGCGGGUUGUAAAGUACUUUCAGCGGGGAGGCGUUACCCGCAGAAGAAGCACCGGCUAAGUCCGUGCCAGCGGCCGCGGUAAUAC